AUUCAACUGACGAGUCUCAAAUAGAACGAAACACUCGUUUUGGAU
rfam:Schistosoma haematobium scaffold829_13, whole genome shotgun sequence.